AUGAACGCUGGCGGCGUGCCUAAUACAUGCAAGUCGAGCGAACGGACGAGAAGCUUGCUUUUCUGGUGUUAGCGGCGGACGGGUGAGUAACACGUGGAUAACCUACCUAUAAGACUGGGAUAACUUCGGGAAACCGGAGCUAAUACCGGAUAAUAUUUUGAACCGCAUGGUUCAAAAGUGAAAGACGGUCUUGCUGUCACUUAUAGAUGGAUCCGCGCUGCAUUAGCUAGUUGGUAAGGUAACGGCUUACCAAGGCAACGAUGCAUAGCCGACCUGAGAGGGUGAUCGGCCACACUGGAACUGAGACACGGUCCAGACUCCUACGGGAGGCAGCAGUAGGGAAUCUUCCGCAAUGGGCGAAAGCCUGACGGAGCAACGCCGCGUGAGUGAUGAAGGUCUUCGGAUCGUAAAACUCUGUUAUUAGGGAAGAACAUAUGUGUAAGUAACUGUGCACAUCUUGAAGGUACCUAAUCAGAAAGCCACGGCUAACUACGUG
rnacentral:rRNA from 1 species